rnacentral:rRNA from 1 species
GAAAAGAAACCAACAGGGAUUGCCUCAGUAACGGCGAGUGAAGCGGCAACAGCUCAAAUUUGAAAUCUGGCUCCCCUUGGGGGUCCGAGUUGUAAUUUGGAGAGGAUGUUUCUGGCGCGGCGCCUUCCGGAGUUCCUUGGAACAGGACGCCACAGAGGGUGAGAGCCCCGUACGGUCGGCCGCCAAACCUUCAAAAGAAGCUCCUUCGACGAGUCGAGUAGUUUGGGAAUGCUGCUCAAAAUGGGAGGUAAAUUUCUUCUAAAGCUAAAUACCGGCCAGAGACCGAUAGCGCACAAGUAGAGUGAUCGAAAGAUGAAAAGCACCUUGAAAAGAGGGUUAAACAGUACGUGAAAUUGUUGAAAGGGAAGCGCCUGCGACCAGACUCGCGCCCCGCGGACCAGCCGGCGUUCUCGCCGGUGCACUCCGCGGGGUGCGGGCCAGCAUCGGUUCUCCCCGGGGGAGAAAGGCCGCGGGAACGUAGCUCCUUCGGGAGUGUUAUAGCCCGUGGCGCCAUGCCCCAGGGGGGACCGAGGACCGCGCUUCGGCAAGGAUGCUGGCGUAAUGGUCGUCGGCGACCCGUUG